AAGGACUUAAGCUAACACAAACUAAAAGCCUUCAAAGCUUUAAUUGGGCGAAACCAACCCAGUCCUUA
rnacentral:tRNA from 1 species